CGAUCGCCAUGUGGAGAAGCUGGCUGAGGGGGAGCUGCAGAUGCUGCUUCUGGAUCCAGCCAGACCUGAAUCUCAGCAACCCCUGGGUGGCUCAGGUCCCAGACGAACACGCGCUGUGAUGGAAGAGAGGGAGGAAAGACGGAGUCGUCUAUGUCUACUUCAUGUCUACAGGUUCCGGUCCUCUUGGAGAACUCUGUAGACAGGGGACCCACACCGUGCCCCGAGCCGCCGCUGAACCCCAUUUGCUGGCCCUAUCCCGUCUCUGAUGCUCCACCAUCCUGCUCUCCACCACCCUUCCGUUCCAAGAGGGCUCUGCAUCCUUUGUACAUACUCUUGCUAUCAGCCAGCUCAAGCUGGUUGCUGGCACCUGUAGCCCAAGGGUUUCAUCUAACACAUGCUCAGAACUUCCACUUCAGCACCGGCCUCUCUCCUGGGGGU
rnacentral:lncRNA from 1 species